rnacentral:rRNA from 1 species
GAUGAACGCUGGCGGCGUGCCUAAUACAUGCAAGUCGAGCGAACAGACGAGGAGCUUGCUCCUCUGACGUUAGCGGCGGACGGGUGAGUAACACGUGGAUAACCUACCUAUAAGACUGGGAUAACUUCGGGAAACCGGAGCUAAUACCAGAUAACAUGUUGAACCGCAUGGUUCAACAGUGAAAGACGGUCUUGCUGUCACUUAUAGAUGGAUCCGCGCCGCAUUAGCUAGUUGGUAAGGUAACGGCUUACCAAGGCAACGAUGCGUAGCCGGCCUGAGAGGGUGAUCGGCCACACUGGAACUGAGACACGGUCCAGACUCCUACGGGAGGCAGCAGUAGGGAAUCUUCCGCAAUGGGCGAAAGCCUGACGGAGCAACGCCGCGUGAGUGAUGAAGGUCUUCGGAUCGUAAAACUCUGUUAUUAGGGAAGAACAAAUGUGUAAGUAACUAUGCACGUCUUGACGGUACCUAAUCAGAAAGCCACGGCUAACUACGUGCCAGCCGCCGCGGUAA